rnacentral:rRNA from 1 species
CCUACGGGUGGCAGCAGUGGGGGAUAUUGCACAAUGGGCGGAACCCUGAUGCAGCGACGCCGCGUGGGUGAAGAAGCGCCUCGGCGCGUAAAGCCCUGUCAGCAGGGAAGAAAAUGACGGUACCUGAAGAUGAAGCCCCGGCUAACUACGUGCCAGCCGCCGCUGUAAUACGUAGGGGGCAAGCGUGAUCCGGAUUUACUGGGUGUAAUGGGGGCGCAGGCGGGGAUGCAAGCCAGGAGUGAAAGCCCGGGGCCCAACCCCGGGAGUGCUCUUGGAACUGCGUGGCUGGAGUGCAGGAGGGGCAGGCGGAAUUCCUGGUGUAGCGGUGAAAUGCGUAGAUAUCAGGAAGAACACCGGUGGCGAAGGCGGCCUGCUGGACUGCAACUGACGUUGAGGCCCGAAAGCGUGGGGAGCAAACAGGAUUAGAUACCCUGGUAGUC